rnacentral:piRNA from 1 species
UGGUUGUUGAUGUUGGUGAGCGUAUCCUUC